GUAGGUGGCAAGCGUUGUCCGGAAUUAUUGGGCGUAAAGCGCGCGCAGGCGGUUCCUUAAGUCUGAUGUGAAAGCCCACGGCUCAACCGUGGAGGGUCAUUGGAAACUGGAGAACUUGAGUACAGAGGAGGAAAGCGGAAUUCCACGUGUAGCGGUGAAAUGCGUAGAGAUGUGGAGGAACACCAGUGGCGAAGGCGGCUUUCUGGUCUGUAACUGACGCUGAGGCGCGAAAGCGUGGGGAGCAAACAGGAUUAGAUACCCUGGUAGUCCACGCCGUAAACGAUGAGUGCUAAGUGUUAGGGGGGUUUCCGCCCCCCUUAGUGCUGCAGCUAACGCAUUAAGCACUCCGCCUGGGAGUACGGCCGCAAGGCUG
rnacentral:rRNA from 1 species